rnacentral:snoRNA from 1 species
UCGUGAUGAACAUCUUAGAUGACGAGUCUUAUUCGAUUCCUUCGUUGCAGACAACACAACUUAUACCAUUCAUGCAUUUCUGAUA